rnacentral:tRNA from 1 species
GGACACAUAGCUCAGUGGUAGAGCACUUGCCUGGCAUGCAUGAGGCCCUGGGUUCAAGCCCCAGUGCUA